UUGUACUUCUUUUUGUCUAUAUAGUCUAUUGAAGUAAGAGCUUGUUCAGAAAUUAUAACAUUCUACAACAUUUUUAGAGAAUUGGUGGUCAAAUUUGUUCAUGAAUCAGGAGAGAUGGGAGGAUUAUUGCUUUGAAAUUUGAUCCACAGAGUUGUUGGGCUUUGCGACUUGGAUGUUGAAAUUCAUCCAAACAUUCGUAAACAAUUCUGGAAUCCUCAACAAUGGCCAAAACAUGUGCUUGUCGGAUACACCUGAAACUUGUUGAAAAUGAUAUUACGAUUUAAAGUAAAGCAGAGAGAUGGUUGUGAUGGUUAUAUGACAAGGAGGAGCAAUCAGAGAUUAAAGUGACAUUGUUAUCAGUAGCUGCAGCAGCACUCAUCAUUACAUAGUUUUUCAAUUUAAAUAAGUUUUUCCUCAUAUUUGUUUUACUAGUGUAUGUGAGGACAUUGAUCCUCCCCUUGGUCAAGACUUAAGAUAGAGUUGAAGUGAAUGAGCCAUUUUUCAGGCUUUUAACCUUGUUCUUACUGGUUGAUGAAGUCGGAGGACUAUAUGAUUCAUUAGAAAAGGGCACAAUAGUUACUUUCUUUUGUAUAAUAGAAUUAUUAAUCACUCAUUGGAUUUAUUUAGGAUAUUUUUCAUUAAGUGAUUUAUAUGAAUUAUUAAU